rnacentral:lncRNA from 1 species
AUGUUCGCUAAAAGCUGGUUGCAAAACAGUCACUAAAGCCCACCAUUGCUAACGCCCAUCGCAAAGCAGUCGUUAAAUGCGAGUCACAUAAUAGCUUCUUUGGGACCGAGAAUUUGGUUUCUAAAAGCAGUCAACUCAUGGGCGGUCACAAACUUGCGUAGGAGCGAUGGUUUUUGCGUUCGUAAAUCUGUCACAAAAGACUUUUAGCAGUACGCAGUUUUGUACGUCGUGUAUGUAAAGUCUAAAUAAUUUGUACAUUUAUAAUGUAACUGUUAUAGUUUUUCUGAUUGUGAAAUUCUGAUUUGGUUUUGAAUGAAAGCAUCAAUGAUUUUAC